AAUAUUAUUCGAUCCAAUAAACGAACAUUCAGCCUUUUUCAUUCAUAGAUUUCAAUUUUACACAUUUCAACAGCAACGAUCAAUAAUUCUCGCAACUAAAUGAUCAAAUCCAAAAAUCACUCUAUGAAACUCACAACAGCACAUCUGCACGAUCCAUCAAGUGUACAUACAAUCAGAAACAAAUACAAAGACACCAAAACAUGGUGGCAACAUCAACUAAAACUAUUGUGCAGCAGCAGCCACCUCGAUCACAGCAGCAACCACCUCGGUCGCUUGCCUCGCGCUGGCGGAACUUGUUGGUCGUGCUCGCUGUUAUAGUCAAGCAACAGCCUCUUGUACUCGAAGGCCUAUAAAAUAAAAUGGAUAAGUGAUCAAAUCCAAAAAUCACUCUAUGAAACUCACAACAGCACAUCUGCACGAUCCAUCAAGUGUACAUACAAUCAGAAACAAAUACAAAGACACCAAAACAUGGUGGCAACAUCAACUAAAACUAUUGUGCAGCAGCAGCCACCUCGAUCACAGCAGCAACCACCUCAGUCGCUUGCCUCGCGCUGGCGGAACUUGUUGGUCGUGCUCGCUGUUAUAGUCAAGCAACAGCCUCUUGUACUCGAAGGCCUAUAAAAUAAAAUGGAUAAGUUAGAUUGAUUCCUGUAGGUGCAGCACAUUUUCUGGAAGAGGCAUAAACGAGAUGUAGUAUCAUCACUACAUGAAAGGAGCAUUAUACUUGGAAGGAAAAAACAGCAUCCUGUCACCAAGCAAACACUACUUGACAGGAAACACUAGUAGCAGGAAGAGCUAGUUAUGCAUGAUGUCUCAGGUUUAAUAAAAGAUCAAGACCACAAUUUUAACAAGAGAUAUAUAGUC
rnacentral:lncRNA from 1 species